UACGAAGGGUGCAAGCGUUACUCGGAAUUACUGGGCGUAAAGCGUGCGUAGGUGGUCUGUUAAGUCUGAUGUGAAAGCCCUGGGCUCAACCUGGGAAUUGCAUUGGAUACUGGCAGGCUAGAGUGCGGUAGAGGAUGGCGGAAUUCCCGGUGUAGCAGUGAAAUGCGUAGAUAUCGGAAGGAACACCAGUGGCGAAAGCGGCUCCCUGGUCCAGCACCGACGUUCAGGCACGAAAGCGUGGGGAGCAAACAGG
rnacentral:rRNA from 1 species